AGUGUAGGCGGAUGAAUAAGAUAGUGGUGAAAUACCUGAGCUCAACUUAGGAAUUGCCAUUAUAACUAUUUAUCUAGAGUGAUAGAGAGGAUAUUGGAAUACCCAGUGUAGAGGUGAAAUUCGUAGAUAUUGGGUAGAACACCAGUGGCGAAGGCGAGUAUCUGGCUAUCAACUGACGCUGAGGCUCGAAAGCAUGGGGAUCAAACA
rnacentral:rRNA from 1 species